CGCGUAGGCGGGCUACCAAGUCUGUGGUGAAAUCCCCCGGCUCAACCGGGGAACUGCCGUGGAUACUGGGAGCCUCGAGGGAGAUAGGGGCGUGCGGAACUGAUGGUGGAGCGGUGAAAUGCGUUGAUAUCAUCAGGAACUCCGGUGGCGAAGGCGGCACGCUGGAUCUCAUCUGACGCUGAGGCGCGAAAGUGUGGGAGCGAACA
rnacentral:rRNA from 1 species